rnacentral:tRNA from 1 species
UCCCUGGUGGUCUAAUGGUUAGGACUGGGCAUUUUCACUGCUGCAGCCUGGAUUCAAUUCCUAGUCUGGGGA